UACGUAGGGUGCGAGCGUUUGUCCGGAAUUAUUGGGCGUAAAGAGCUUGUAGGCGGUUUGUCGCGUCUGCCGUGAAAUCCGGGGCUCAACCCCGGACUUGCGGUGGGUACGGGCAGACUAGAGUGUGGUAGGGGAGGGUGGAAUUCCGCGUGUAGCAGUGAAAUGCGUAGAGAUGCGGAGGAACACCGAUGGCGAAGGCAGCCCUCUGGGCCAACACUGACGCUCAGGCACGAAAGCGUGGGGAGCAAACAGG
rnacentral:rRNA from 1 species